ensembl:lncRNA
CAUUUACAUAAGUAAUUCAGACCCUUUACUCAGUACUUUGUUGAAGCAUCUUUGGCAGUGAUUACAGCCUCAAGUCUUCUUGGGUAUGACGCUACAAGCUUGGCACACAUGUAUUUGGGGAGUUUCUUCAAUUCUACUCUGCAGAUCCUCUCAAGCUCUGUCAGGUUGGAUGGGGAGCUUCACUGCACAGCUAUUUUCAGGUCUCUCCAGAGAUGUUCGAUCAGGUUCAUAUCCAGGCUCUGGAUGGGCCAGUCAAGGACAUUCAGACUUGUCCUGAAGCCACUCUUGUGUUGUCUUGGCUGUGUGCUUAGGGUUGUGGUCCUGUUGGAAGGUGAACCUUCGCUCCAGAAUGAGGUCCUGAGCGCUCUGGGGCAGGUUGUCAUUAAGGAUCUCUCUGUACUUUGCUCCGUUCAUCUUUCCCUCAAUCCUGACUAGUCUCCCAGUCCCUGGAAGCUGAAAAACAUCCCCACAGCAUGAUGCUGCCACCACCGUGUUUCACUGUAGGGAUGCUGCCACCACCAUGCUUCACCGUAGGGAUGGUGCCACCACAGUGCUUCACUGUAGGGAUGCUGCCACCACCAUGCUUCACUGUAGGGAUGCUGCCACCACCAUGCUUCACCGUAGGGAUGCUGCCACCACCAUGCUUCACCAUAGGGAUGCUGCCACCACCAUGCUUCACCAUAGGGAUGCUGCCACCACCAUGCUUCACCAUAGGGAUGCUGCCACCACCGUGCUUCACCGUAGGGAUGCUGCCACCACCAUACUUCACCGUAGGGAUGGUGCCAGGUUUCUUCCAGACGUGACGCUUGGCACUCAGGCCAAAGAGUUCAAUCUUGGUUUCAUCAGACCAGAGAAUCUGAUUUCUUUAGGUGCCUUUUGGCAAACUCCAAGUGGGCUGUCAAGUGCCUUUUACUGAGGAGUGGCUUCUGUCUGGCCACUCUACCAUAAAGGCCUGAUUGGUGGAGUGCUGCAGAGAUGGUUGUCCUUCUGGAAGGUUCUCCCAUCUCCACAGAAUGACCAUCAGGUUCUUGGUCACCUCCUUGACCAAGGCCCUUCUCCCCCAAUGGCUGGGCAGAAAGCUCUAGGAAGAGUUUUGGUGGCUACAAACUUCUUUCAUUUAGAAUAAAGUAGGCCACUGUGUUCAAUGCUGAAUAAUUAUUUUGGUACCUAUUCCCAGAUCUAUGCCUCGAUACUAUCCUGUCUUGGAGUUCUACGGACAAUUCCUUCGACCUCAUGGCUUGGUUUCCAAAUCAUGUCAAAUCAAUUGAAUUUACCACAGGUGGACUCCAAUCAAGUUGUAGAAACAUCUCAAGGAUGAUCAAUGGAAACAGGAUGCACCUGAGCUCAAUUUGGGGUCUCAUAGCAAAGGGUCUGAAUACUUAUGUAAAUAAGGUAUUUCUGUUUCUUAUUUAAAAAAUUAGCAAACAUUUCUAAAAACCUGUUUUCGCAUUGUCAUUAUGGGGUAGUGUGUGUAGAUUGAUGAGAUUCAUGAGAUUAUUUAAUUAAUUUUAGAAUAAGUCUGUAACGUAACAAAAUGUGGAGAAGGGGGAAGGGGUCUGAAUACUUCCUGAAUAAUCUGUAUAAAGGUGUGAAAGUGAAGACAGAUGUUGGAUUUGUUAACCUGCUGAGUGAAUGGAUAGAAUACACUGGACUGCAUCUAAAACACCAAAUUCAACAUGGCUGCGUUUACACAGCCAACACAAUUAUAAUAUUCUUCCCACUAAUUGCACCUUUUGAUCAAUUAGCUAUUUUGUCAAAAAUUGGGGAAAAGAUCAGAAUUCAGCUGACUGUGUAAAUGCAGCUAAAAAGUGCUGGGGGCUAGUGCCCUACUUUGACCAGGGUGCUAGUGCCCUACUUUGACCAGGGUGCUGGGGGCUAGUGCACUACUUUGAUGAGGGUGCUGGGGGCUAGUGCACUACUUUGAUGAGGGUGCCGGGGGCUAGUGCACUACUUUGAUGAGGGUGCUGGGGACUAGUGCACUACUUUGAUCAGGGUGCUGGGGGCUAGUGCCCUACUUUGACCAGGGGGCUAGUGCCCUACUUUGACCAGG